ACAGAGGGUGCGAGCGUUAAUCGGACUUACUGGGCGUAAAGGGCGCGUAGGUGGACAAUUAAGUCGGAUGUGAAAUCCCAGGGCUCAACUCUGGAAUUGCAUUUGAUACUGGUUGUCUAGAGUACAGUAGAGGGAAGAGGAAUUUCCGGUGUAGCGGUGAAAUGCGUAGAUAUCGGAAGGAACACCAGUGGCGAAGGCGUCUUCCUGGGCUGAUACUGACACUGAGGCGCGAAAGCGUGGGUAGCGAACAGG
rnacentral:rRNA from 1 species